AAGUCGUAACAAGGUUUCCGUAGGUGAACCUGCGGAAGGAUCAUUACAAAAUUUCGAGUGCUGAGCAGCGGCGACAUGGCGCAUUCGUGUGCUGUGGCGCCAGCUGCCGACACCACUUUACGCUUGUUGUGUUUGACAGAGUUAUUGUUGCUUUAAAUAUAGACAACUUUUAACAAUGGAUCUCUUGGCCCUUGCAACGAUGAAGAACGCAGUAAAGUGCGAUAUCUAGUGCGAUUUGCAUGAAUCUGUGAGUCAUCGAGUUUUUGAACGCAACUUGCGCCCAGCAAUGGGCAUGUCUGUUUGAGUACCGCAAACCAUUUGCACUCUGCAAAGAGGGCGAGUUGGGCAGCGAGACGGCGCAAGCAGUCUCCGGCCUGGAAUGGAGCAAGAUGAUGGACGUUUGGUGCAUCUCUGUGUGCUAUAAACACGCAAGUGUUUGGUCGCAGGGCGUGUGCUGGCGCGCUGUCGCAAACCACAUUUUUUUCAUGGUCUCAAAUCAGGCAGGAUUACCCGCUGAACUUAA
rnacentral:rRNA from 1 species